rnacentral:rRNA from 1 species
AUUGAACGCUGGCGGCGUGCUUAACACAUGCAAGUCGAUCGGUAACGCGGGGGCAACCCUGGCGACGAGAGGCGGACGGGUGAGGAACGCUUGGGAAUCUGCCUAUCAGCGGGGGACAACACGGGGAAACUCGUGCUAAUACCGCAUACGCUCUACGGAGGAAAGCCGGGGACCGCAAGGCCUGGCACUGAUAGAUGAGCCCAAGCCGGAUUAGCUAGUUGGCGGGGUAACGGCCCACCAAGGCGACGAUCCGUAGCUGGUCUGAGAGGACGAUCAGCCACACUGGGACUGAGACACGGCCCAUACUCCUACGGGAGGCAGCAGUGGGGAAUAUUGGACAAGGGGGGAAACCCUGAUCCAGCGACGCCGCGUGGGUGAAGAAGGCCUGCGGGUUGUAAAGCCCUUUCGGUAGGGACGAAAGCUCUCGACCUAACACGUCGGGAGGUUGACUUAACCUACAAAAGAAGCACCGGCUAACUCUGUGCCAGCAGCCGCCGUAACAC